GUGGGCGUAGCUCAGCUGGUGGUAGCUCCGGAUUGUGGCUCCGGUGGUCGUGGGUUCAAGUCCCAUCGCUCACCCCA
rnacentral:tRNA from 1 species